AUUGAACGCUGGCGGCAGGCCUAACACAUGCAAGUCGAACGGUAACAGGAAGCAGCUUGCUGCUUCGCUGACGAGUGGCGGACGGGUGAGUAAUGUCUGGGAAGCUGCCUGAUGGAGGGGGAUAACUACUGGAAACGGUAGCUAAUACCGCAUAAUGUCGCAAGACCAAAGAGGGGGACCUUCGGGCCUCUUGCCAUCGGAUGUGCCCAGAUGGGAUUAGCUUGUUGGUGGGGUAACGGCUCACCAAGGCGACGAUCCCUAGCUGGUCUGAGAGGAUGACCAGCCACACUGGAACUGAGACACGGUCCAGACUCCUACGGGAGGCAGCAGUGGGGAAUAUUGCACAAUGGGCGCAAGCCUGAUGCAGCCAUGCCGCGUGUAUGAAGAAGGCCUUCGGGUUGUAAAGUACUUUCAGCGGGGAGGAAGGGAGUAAAGUUAAUACCUUUGCCCAUUGACGUUACCCGCAGAAGAAGCACCGGCUAACUCCGUG
rnacentral:rRNA from 1 species